CCCUUAGAGUUUGAUCCUGGCUCAAGACGAACGCUGUCGGCGCGCCUAACACAUGCAAGUCGAACGAAGUUGCUUUGAAUGAAUUCUUCGGAAGGAAUUUGAUUCAACUUAGUGGCGGACGGGUGAGUAACGCGUGAGUAACCUGCCUUUCAGAGGGGUAUAACGUCUGGAAACGGACGCUAAUACCGCAUAACAUAUUGGUUUCGCAUGGAGCUGAUAUCAAAGGAGCAAUCCGCUGAAAGAUGGACUCGCGUCCAAUUAGCUAGGUGGUGAGGUAACGGCCCACCAAGGCGACGAUUGGUAGCCGGACUGAGAGGUUGAACGGCCACAUUGGGACUGAGACACGGCCCAGACUCCUACGGGAGGCAGCAGUGGGGAAUAUUGCACAAUGGGGGAAACCCUGAUGCAGCGACGCCGAGUGAGGGAAGAAGGUUUUCGGAUUGUAAACCUCUGUCCUUGGUGAAGAUAAUGACGGUAACCAAGGAGGAAGCUACGGCUAACUACGUGCCAGCAGCCGCGGUAACACGUAGGUAGCGAGCGUUGUCCGGAAUUACUGGGUGUAAAGGGAGCGUAGGCGGGAUUGCAAGUUGAAUGUUAAAUCUAUGGGCUCAACCCAUAGCCGCGUUCAAAACUGCAGUUCUUGAGUGAAGUAGAGGCAGGCGGAAUUCCUAGUGUAGCGGUGAAAUGCGUAAAUAUUAGGAGGAACACCAGUGGCGAAGGCGGCCUGCUGGGCUUUAACUGACGCUGAGGCUCGAAAGCGUGGGUAGCAAACAGGAUUAGAUACCCUGGUAGUCCACGCUGUAAA
rnacentral:rRNA from 1 species